rnacentral:rRNA from 1 species
GUAGGUGGCAAGCGUUGUCCGGAUUUACUGGGCGUAAAGCGCGCGCAGGUGGCCCGCCAAGUCUGGGGUGAAAUCUCCCGGCUCAACCGGGAGAGGUCUCUGGAAACUGACGGGCUUGAGGAGAGCAGAGGAGAGUGGAAUUUCCGGUGUAGCGGUGAUAUGCGUAGAUAUCGGAAGGAACACCAGUGGCGAAGGCGGCUCUCUGGGCUCUUCCUGACGCUGAGGCGCGAAAGCGUGGGGGAGCGAACCGGGAUUAGAUACCCGGGUAGUCCACGCUGUAAACGUUGGGCACUAGGUGUGGGAGGUAUUGACCCCCCUUCCGUGCCGAAGUUAACGCAUUAAGUGCCCCGCCUGGGGGAGUACGGCCGCAAGGCUA